GACGAACGCUGGCGGCGUGCUUAACACAUGCAAGUCGAACGCUGAAGCUCAGCUUUUGUUGGGUGGAUGAGUGGCGAACGGGUGAGUAACACGUGAGUAACCUGCCCCCUUCUUUGGGAUAACGCCCGGAAACGGGUGCUAAUACUGGAUAUUCACUGGUCUUCGCAUGGGGGUUGGUGGAAAGGGUUUUUCUGGUGGGGGAUGGGCUCGCGGCCUAUCAGCUUGUUGGUGGGGUGAUGGCCUACCAAGGCUUUGACGGGUAGCCGGCCUGAGAGGGUGACUGGUCACAUUGGGACUGAGAUACGGCCCAGACUCCUACGGGAGGCAGCAGUGGGGAAUAUUGCACAAUGGGCGCAAGCCUGAUGCAGCGACGCCGCGUGAGGGAUGGAGGCCUUCGGGUUGUGAACCUCUUUCGCUCAUGGUCAAGCCGCAACAAUGGUUGUGGUGAGGGUAGUGGGUAAAGAAGCGCCGGCUAACUACGUG
rnacentral:rRNA from 1 species